rnacentral:rRNA from 1 species
AGGGAAUCUUCCACAAUGGGCGCAAGCCUGAUGGAGCAACACCGCGUGAGUGAAGAAGGGUUUCGGCUCGUAAAGCACUGUUGUUGGAGAAGAACGUGCGUGAGAGUAACUGUUCACGCAGUGACGGUAUCCAACCAGAAAGUCAGGGCUAACUACGGUCAUGUAGCCGCGGUAAUACGUAGGUGGCAAGCGUUAUCCGGAUUUAUUGGGCGUAAAGCGAGCGCAGGCGGUUGCUUAGGUCUGAUGUGAAAGCCUUCGGCUUAACCGAAGAAGUGCAUAGGAAACCGGGCGACUUGAGUGCAGAAGAGGACAGUGGAACUCCAUGUGUAGCGGUGGAAUGCGUAGAUAUAUGGAAGAACACCAGUGGCGAAGGCGGCUGUCUGGUCUGCAACUGACGCUGAGGCUCGAAAGCAUGGGUAGCGAACAGG